CCCUGUAUUUGAAAGUGAUUGUGGGCUGCAGGUGCCCUGGUCAUUGAUACUGCAAGGAGAGGAUUUGAAAAACUUUUCCCGUGUUUGGAGGAUCCACACUCAUCCUUGCCAAACCCUGGUGCUUUCCCACA
ensembl:snoRNA Gm25683 predicted gene, 25683